UACGUAGGGCGCAAGCGUUAUCCGGAAUUAUUGGGCGUAAAGAGCUCGUAGGCGGUUUGUCGCGUCUGCCGUGAAAGUCCGGGGCUCAACUCCGGAUCUGCGGUGGGUACGGGCAGACUAGAGUGAUGUAGGGGAGACUGGAAUUCCUGGUGUAGCGGUGAAAUGCGCAGAUAUCUGGAGGAACACCGAUGGCGAAGGCAGGUCUCUGGGCAUUAACUGACGCUGAGGAGCGAAAGCAUGGGGAGCGAACAGG
rnacentral:rRNA from 1 species